AUGCCUGCCGACUUACCACCGGAGUGGGAUCCUAUGUCUGCCAAGGAGCAGUUGUUGUGGUAUCUCGAGAGAUUAUGCGCUAAGGCGGAGGAGAUGAGUGCCGUGUUGGGUGUUGCACGGGUGGGUGACCCUCCCAUGGUCACCCCGCUUGUCAAUCCGACGGCCUCAACCACGACGCAUGCCUCGUCGGCGCCCGUCCCCGACGUCUCCUGCUCCACCACCACGCCCCAAGAGGUCCUUGAAGUCAUCCUCGACGCGUCCCCUGCAUACACAGCAACGACGCCCACCACCUGUUCGACCGAUGGUCUGAACCAAGUCGUUCCCACCGCCAUCGUCAACGAGGGAACUAGAACUCAGGGUAUCUAUGAGGAUGAGCUAAGAGCAUUCAGAAGGCAAACUCUAUUCUUGAUCAAUCUCCUGUAA
rnacentral:rRNA from 1 species